AAAAAACUGAAAGCAAAAGUUGUGCUAAGCUGGUGAUAUAAAAGCGUUCCUGUGUAAGAAAUCCUCCAUCUGAAAAGACUCCGUCCAUCCCAGGGUGAGAAGUCGUCAGAAGAAGAGGAGACCAUGAGUCACCAUCAGUGCUGUAGAUGCGCUUGCUCUCAAAGCAGUUCAAACAACCAGGUGAUGCCAUACAGAUCAUCAAAUCAAGUCGCCCUUCCAGGAGGCAAUAGUUUAAGGCAAAUUAUGACCACGCCUAAUCAUGAGACGAAAUUCCACAUGGAGCGCAAGAAAGUUAUUUACGUUCUUACUGAGAAUGGACUGGAGCCUGUUACCAUCACAGAAGAAAGAUCAUACCGGGUAGAAGGAGACGUGGAAUUCUGGUGAAGAAACAAAGCAGGGAAGCAGAAAUAAUCAAUCUCAAUCAAACUCAACUUCUGCUCAGGCCAUGUUGCUGUUUUUGUCUGUCAUCAUAAUCCAUAAUCUGUGUUGCUUAUUAACAUAAGUGCAAUUGUUCUCAAUAUUAACAUAAAUUACUUCAGUAAUCUGGUCUUUGAAAACAAUUUUUCUAGCAAAAAAAAGAGGUGUUAAGAAAUGGGUUACCUUUUGUUAACUGCAUUAUAUUGAGGAUUGUACUUUUUUAUUUGGCUAAAUAUCAAAAACAUACUUUUAACUUUUAAAAGCUCUAUCUCAAAUGGUGUGUUUAAAGUUUUAAAUACCUUUAGGAAAAAAGGCAAAUCAUUACAUUAUGCUACUAAUGCUCUCAUGUUUUAAAAAACUUGGCUUGGUGAAAUAUGGGCUGUUUCAAUUUUAAUUUUUAGCUGAUAUGAACCAAAUAAUAAUAAUAAUAAUUGAGCUCUUGGUUCUAAAAGUAGCUUCGUCUGACCCGGGAUAAUUUCUUUUCUUUAGGAUUGUGUGAAGAAUGUAGAUAAAAAUUCCUUCUUGUAGUGAGUACAUAAAAUAUUAAUUACUUAAAAUAGCAUUUUAUCCAAUAUUUCUGUGCAUUUAUUAUGGUUCAAAGACCGCUGACUCUACUUCAUUGGGUUAAUUGAGGGAGAAAUAAUCAACCUGAGAACCAGACUAGCAGACUGUAGCGUGUUAACUGCAUUAAGUGCACAAAAAUAAUUCUAGCUGUGUAAAAAUAGUAACAGCUGAGUCAGUCCACAAAGUACCUCACCUAUAUUUCCAUAAAAAAAAAUUAAAUGAUUAACAGACCGACGUCCGUGUGGGUUUCCUCUGGGUUCUCUGGUUUCCUCCCAAAAAUGCUAUGCUAAACUGCCUCAGGUGUGAAUGAACUGGUGCCCUGUUCAGGGUGGAUUCCUGCCUCACACCCAGAAUUCCCAAGAUAAAGUGCAAAUAUCGGAAUAUAUGUUGAGUAGAGUACUUUGUUUAUUAAUGAACAUUUAAAAUGUCUCUAUAAUUGGGAUGAGGGAUGUUACUGUGAAAUAAUAAAGCAUGUAAAAAUAUA